UUGGAGGGCAAGUCUGGUGCCAGCAGCCGCGGUAAUUCCAGCUCCAAUAGUGUAUAUUAAAGUUGUUGCAGUUAAAAAGCUCGUAGUUGAAUUUCGGGGCUAGUACGCCGGUCGUGCCUUCGGUACGUACUGGUGUUACUGAUUCCUACCUUCUGAAGAACCGUCAUGUCAUUAAUUUGGUGUGGCGGGGAAUCGGGACUGUUACUUUGAAAAAAUUAGAGUGUUUAAAGCAGGC
rnacentral:rRNA from 1 species